AAUCUAAUUUAUUUAAUAAAUUCAUUUAUGUCUAUGUGGACAAUUUCUAUUUGAAUUAAACAGUCAAUUUGAACUAAGUGUAUAUUAUAGAAUUAUCUAAUUUUUAUAUUUAGCCAACCAAUCAAAUAACAGAUAUGUUAUGACGUAAAAAUUUAUCUGCGACAAGAAAGUUCGCAAAAAUUUCUCUGGACAAUUUUUGAUUUAUUUGUUUGUUUAUAUACACUCUGGUGACACUUCAUUCACAUAACAACAUUCUAUAUCAUUUGUUUAUGGAUUAAUAUUUAUUCAGCGAGAGGUCAGUACAAUAGUUAGUAGUUUAUAUACAUUUAAAGUCAUCAAGACUGUUGACCUACAUUUGCCCACGCAAAUACUCCGUGAUCGAUGAACUAUACAUUUGAUGCUGACAAUAUUCAUUAACGAUCUGCCUGUAUAUAAGAAGAUAACUAUAGUAAUUAACUUGAGAUGAGGAUUUAUUAUAUUCGUUACGUACUACAAUACCUUUAGCAUAGUAUUAGAAAGCAAUUCAUGUUCAUAUUAUGAGGGUUUGGAUGGGGUUAAAUGAUUAGAGAAUAAUGCCCUUAAAAAAUGAAGAUAAGAGAAUAACCACGGGGGGGUAACUCCCUAUUAUUGGGUAUACGGGGAUGUGCCAAAAAUAUGGGUCAUAAUUUUGCGAGAUUUUAUAUUAAAAUGACCCUCCUUUUUAAUGACAUCCUAUAUUAAAAUGCAUUUAUGUUUGAUAACUGUAUAUUGAUUUGGGGUAUGAUGUACACACCAAUAUAACAAUCCAUGCGUAUACAGAACGAUAAAAGAUUGUGUGCACCAAACGAUGUCAAUUCAUAUAUAAAACUUAAGGGUAGCUGGUAUAUUUAUGAAUUAUGAGUGAUGAUGAGUUAGUGCUUAUAUAAGCAUGGGUCAUAUUUUAAAUAUUGUAUAUAAGUAUAGGUCAUUCUUCCUUAAAUAUUUAUAUAACUAUAGGUACUGAAUUUCAGUGAAUGUUAUAUUAAAAUGGGUACGUUUUUUGAGGCAAAAAUGGCACACCCCUACCAAAAAAAUAUCGAAGUUACCCCCCCGUGAGAAUAACGGGCAAAAAAAAUAAAGAUUAGAGAAAUGCGUGGUCUAAAAAUAUAAUGAAUAUUGAAUGAUUAAUAAAAGAAAACGCUAAAAAUAAACUGUUAACAGAAUUUUCCCUUCUUAAAAUUUAAAGAAAAUGAUCAAAACAGUGUUUAAGCUAGGAUUUUGAGGGCUUUAGUCACUUUUGCGCGCUAUUAAAAUCAACCUUAUUUUGUGUAAAAGCAAGGGGCCAAUGAUGUAUAUUACUAGCUUCAUCUUUUGACUUUGUCAGAUUUUAAGGGAUUGAGGCACCAGCAUGAUUGGCAGUUAUUGUAUGAUUUGACUGUAUUGGCCAUUAUUAUGAAAGAUUCUGACAUGGAAUCCAGACAAAAUUAGCAUUGUAAAAAUAUGAUUAAAGUGAAAACAAACUUGGUAAACCUUUUUUGGUUUCGUGAUAACAGACUAUAGGAUUCAGUCAAUGUGAACUGGUUUCCGAUACUUCAACUCGGACUUUUAAUUCAGUGGCGGAUCCAGAGGGGGCGUAGAGGGCGGAUAAAACAUCUCUCAGUCAUUUUGAAAUUCAAAUUACAGUAAUACAUUGCGUAGGCUGAGGAUGACAAUCGUGACACCUUCAAAGCGACACAGGAUUUAGCAAGAACAUAUUGACUUCUAUUUCACUAUUCACCAAACAGAAAGUAAUGCUCUAUAGACUAUUACACUCUCAUGAAAAAAAAAAGUUCCACAGCAAUAGUAUCUAACUACGGAAACAUGUUUAACCCCAAACGCCCCAGCCUAUUUUGAAAUAAUAUAGCUGAAUAAUGAUCCCCAGUCAGCAUAAGCUCUAUAUAGAUUUAAAGUCGUAAGUACGAACCAUUUGAUUUGAGGAGACAGUCUUGGAUAUUUGAGAGAAAAAAAAAUUAACUCUGAUUUUUGCCUUAAACAAAAAUUCUAGACGCAAAACAAAAAUCUUGUCCACUUUUUUGCUAUUAGAAACGAAAAUUCCCAACAGAAUUAUUUAGCAUUAAAUGAACAUGAUGAAUAAAAGCGGGCGUAUUUUUUUGUGGCAGGGGUUUUCGUGUCUGACCGGAAUGUCUGUUUCGCCGAACUGAUAUAUGGGAAUACUUUUUUCAAGACCAGACUGCAACCUGCCUGCUGGUGUGGCCUUUAUGUCUUCAUUUGACGGCUGGCAUUUAUAAAUUCGUUGUCAUUUCAGACUCAUUCUUAGCCUUUGAUUGAUUUGGAACCCUUUAUUUCCCUUAAUGUUUGUUGGGUGAAACAUAUCAACCAAACAUUUGGAUAAAAAUUGCUUGUUUGUCUUUCUUAACUCGUGUCGGUCGUAUUUCAAAUUCAAUUGAAUAGCCCAGCGUAUAUCUUGUUAACAACAAAGAACUCUGUGAGGUUAUUCUAACUUAACUUACAACAAACGUGCAGGAUUUUCCAUGCCUAUGUUUUACUGACAAAUCACACAUUAAAUGUAUCAGUACAUAGCUCUUGGAUCCAAAGGGAGAUACAGCAUCUAAAAUGUCCAACUCUUACACCUUACCAGCAACUACAAAAUAUGCAUGCCCCACGCCAGGAACCGUUUAAAAAGUGCAUAUUUCACUUAUUUAAUGUUUUUAGUACUAAAAAGGGGCCCAAAAAAAAUUUCGGCUCGCUCCGCUCGCCGAUCUUUACAAAACUACGACCCUCUUUCAAAAAACCUGAAUCCGGCCCUGUUUAUAGCUGACUAUGCGGUUGGCUUUUAUUCAUUGUUAAAUGCCGUAAAGUGACCUAUAGUUGUUAAUUUAUGUGUCAUUUGGUCUCUUUGAAGAGUUGUCUCAUUGGCAAUUACACCACAUCUUCUUAUAUGUAGUCAGAAUCACUGGAAAGAACUGAUGAGAAUUUUGACUUGUUACUUCAAGGAACAAGCACUUUAAUCAUGCAGAACAAUACACAUCAACACGUCAUUGUUAAGAAAAAAAUGAAAGCCUUGCUGUUGUUUGGAAAUCACCGUUCUCAUUUAUUAAAGAAUGUUUUUUACUUUUUUUUAAGAUUAAAAAAUUGGGAAAAAAUUAGAGAAUAAUGCGUAAAAAAUCACUUUUAAAGAAUAGACUUAUUUUUUAAGAUUGAGAAAAAAGGGGUGAAAUUAAAUGUUUACAGAAUAACAGACCCCCCUCAGACCCUCAUAUUAUGUACCACGUGACAUUCUGUUAUGAAAGAACCACGUGACAUUAUGUUGUGGAAGAAUCAUGUGACAGUUUGACCGACUUUCAAACGUAAACAACUUCGGUAAUAAACAGCUAGUGUAUUCAUUAUGGAGAAGUCCUCGUCUGGGAAUAUUUUACACGUGACUUUAUUGGGUCACAGUUUUAUAAGGAGGUUAAAUCGCUUUAUGAAUAGUUGUGACAGAUUUGAAAAUCUGCGUUUGUUGAAGUGUAACUUUUUAAUUAAUUGUCGUGCACAGGGUGGACUUACAGUAGCAAGACUAGCUCAGCAAAAACAAUUAUGUACUUUUAGUUGUCUCCCUCACAUAAUUUUUAUACAGAUAGGGGGAAAUGAUGCUGCUAAUAGGAGAACUAAUGCAUCCCAAGUUGCUCAAGACAUUUUUGCGUUUGCGAUGUAUUUACACUAUGGUUUGAAUGUAAAUCAUGUUAUAAUUGGACAAUUGUUAUGUAGGAGUGAAUUGGUAACAUACGCAGGAUACAAUGAUAAAGUUGUACAAGUAAACACACUUUUACAAGAGAAAAUCAAAGAGCACGAUGAAAAGGCUAUUUCUUUUUGGCACCACCGUGGUUUUUGGGAUAAUUUAAAUUAUUUGUGUUUUGACGGAGUGCACCUUAACCAUUUUGGAAUGCGCAAAUACUUUAAAAGUAUUCGUUCUGCUGUACUUCAUGCAUCCAACCAGUGAUACUGUAUUCAUAUUGUUUAUGUAGGUAAAUUAAUCUGUUAUAAUACUUAAUUUGGAGUUAAAAGUACAUUGUACUUUUAUCAAUUUCUAAUGUUUUAUGAACAUUGUUCAUAUUUAUAUAUAUAAGUUGCUUUACUUACAUUGUAAGUACAUUGUAAUUUGUAUCUAGGUGCUUACACAGUUGUGGGCUUAUAGUACUGGUACAUUGUACCUUAUAUUUGCACAUUGUGUACUAUCUUAUAUUCUACCACAUUGUAGGUUAAGCAAAACUGCACAGACGGUUACAUUUAUUCAGCUUACAAAGUGAGCCACAUUUGGUACAUUGUACCUAUAAAUACAUACAUAUACACACUGUGUACAAUAAACUACAUUUAGUAUUUAAGCCAUUGGCAUUACAAUUUUGUGUUGUGUAUAUUAUACACAAACCAAUAUAUUAACAAUCUGAUUCUGUUUCAGUAUCAUCAGUUGAAGUCAUAAAAUUGCAAUCAGCUCAACAACUGCCAGGAGAUGCCUCCCAAAAGAGGAAAAUCCCGUCAAAGUGAUCAACCAACUCACAAAAAACAAAAAACAAAUAUUGAUUACACAAAAUUGGCAGCUGAGAUCCUGCGUUUACAGUCAGACAAAACAAAUGCAAGCAAUCAGCCAACUACAUCUAGCGGUGUAAAUAUUGAGGCUGAUAUACAUGUAGAUACAGAUGUUUCACAAAAUCAGCUACAUGGAACGAUUCAGAUACCAACAUCUACACAGAACGUUAACAUUGAUCCAGUUUCAUGCACAGUAUCAGCUCCUAAUCCUACAUCAGCAGCAUCUGAGGAGAGCACAACACAAAUACAUGUAAAUCCUACAUGCACAGUGGCACCUGAUGAUACAACUACAUCAGUCUUGAACCCGUCAUGCAGCACUUCUAAAGAAUUUGAUAUUCAAACUGUGGUUGAAACACUUUUUUCAGGUGAGCCGCCAGUCAACACACAUAAUUCAAGUGAAAAUUCACUUAAAAUUCAAGUAUCAGAUGGCAUCCCAUUGGGGGCCACUGUUUCACAAAAAAUUAAAGAGAAAAUAUGGUCAGAUGAAUUCAUUGAU
rnacentral:lncRNA from 1 species